rnacentral:rRNA from 1 species
AGUGAACGCUGGCGGCGUGCUUAACACAUGCAAGUCGAACGAGAACGGGUUAUAGCUUGCUAUAAUUGUCAGCUAAGUGGCGCACGGGUGAGUAAUGUAUAGGUAAUAUGCCUCUUACUAAGGGAUAACAAAUGGAAACGUUUGCUAAUACCUUAUACUCCUUAUUAACAUAAGUUAAUAAGGGAAAGAUUUAUUGGUAAGAGAUUAGACUGUAUUGUAUCAGUUAGUUGGUGGGGUAAUGGCUUACCAAGACUAUGAAACAUAACUGGUUUGAGAGGAUGAUCAGUCACUCUGGAAAUGAGACAAGGUCCAGACUACUCCGGGAGGCAGGAGUGGGGAAUAUUGCACAAUGGACGAAAGGCUGAUACAGCAACGCCGCGUGGAGGAUGACACAUUUCGGUGCGUAAACUCCUUUUAUCUGAGAAGAUAAUGACGGUAUUAUAUGAAUAAGCGCCGGCUAACUCCGUGCCAGCCGCCGCGGUAA